rnacentral:rRNA from 1 species
AUUGAACGCUGGCGGCAGGCCUAACACAUGCAAGUCGAACGAGUGGCGGACGGGUGAGUAAUGUCUGGGAAACUGCCUGAUGGAGGGGGAUAACUACUGGAAACGGUAGCUAAUACCGCAUACCAUCCGAGGUGCACAGAUGGGAUUAGCGAGUUGGUGGGGUCACGGCUCACAAAGGAGACGAUCCCUAGCUGGUCUGAGAGGAUGUCCAGCCACACUGUAACUGGUACACGGUCCAGACUCCUACGGGAGGCAGCAGUGGUGAAUAUUGCAAAAUGGGCGCAAGCCUGAUGCAGCCAUGCCGCGUGUAUGAAGAAGGCCUUCGGGUUGUAAAGUACUUUCAGCGGGGAGGCGUUACCCGCAGAAGAAGCACCGGCUAACUCCGUGCCAGCAGCCGCGGUAAUUC